rnacentral:rRNA from 1 species
UUUAUGGAGAGUUUGAUCCUGGCUCAGGAUGAACGCUGGCGGCGUGCCUAAUACAUGCAAGUCGAGCGAACGGACGAGAAGCUUGCUUCUCUGAUGUUAGCGGCGGACGGGUGAGUAACACGUGGAUAACCUACCUAUAAGACUGGGAUAACUUCGGGAAACCGGAGCUAAUACCGGAUAAUAUUUUGAACCGCAUGGUUCAAAAGUGAAAGACGGUCUUGCUGUCACUUAUAGAUGGAUCCGCGCUGCAUUAGCUAGUUGGUAAGGUAACGGCUUACCAAGGCAACGAUGCAUAGCCGACCUGAGAGGGUGAUCGGCCACACUGGAACU